rnacentral:rRNA from 1 species
UACGGAGGGUGCAAACGUUGCUCGGAAUCAUUGGGCGUAAAAGCGCACGUAGGCGGUCCAGUAAGUCGGGUGUGAAAGCCCUCGGCUCAACCGAGGAAGUGCAUUCGAAACUACUGAACUUUGAGUAUGGGAAGAGGGUCGCGGGAAUUUCCCGGUGUAGAGGUGAAAUUCGUAGAUAUCGGGAGGAACACCGGUGGCGAAGGCGGCGAAUCUGGGUAGAUACUGACGCUGAGGUGCGAAACGUGGGGGAGCAAACAGGG